GAUGUACGCUGGCGGCGUGCCUAAUACAUGCAAGUCGAGCGAAUGGAUUGAGAGCUUGCUCUUAUGAAGUUAGCGGCGGACGGGUGAGUAACACGUGGGUAACCUGCCCAUAAGACUGGGAUAACUCCGGGAAACCGGGGCUAAUACCGGAUAACAUUUUGAACCGCAUGGUUCGAAAUUGAAAGGCGGCUUCGGCUGUCACUUAUGGAUGGACCCGCGUCGCAUUAGCUAGUUGGUGAGGUAACGGCUCACCAAGGCAACGAUGCGUAGCCGACCUGAGAGGGUGAUCGGCCACACUGGGACUGAGACACGGACCAGACUCCUACGGGAGGCAGCAGUAGGGAAUCUUCCGCAAUGGACGAAAGUCUGACGGAGCAACGCCGCGUGAGUGAUGAAGGCUUUCGGGUCGUAAAACUCUGUUGUUAGGGAAGAACAAGUGCUAGUUGAAUAAGCUGGCACCUUGACGGUACCUAACCAGAAAGCCACGGCUAACUACGUGCCAGCAGCCGCCGCGG
rnacentral:rRNA from 1 species